AUGCUCGCUUCAGUGGCACGUAUACUAAAAUUGGAAGGUUACAGAGGAUGCGCAUGUCCCCUGUGCAAGAAUGAGUCAUAUUUGUGAAGCGUUCCAUAUUUGA
ensembl:snRNA U6 U6 spliceosomal RNA